AUUGAACGCUGGCGGCAGGCCUAACACAUGCAAGUCGAACGGUAACAGGAAACAGCUUGCUGUUUCGCUGACGAGUGGCGGACGGGUGAGUAAUGUCUGGGAAACUGCCUGAUGGAGGGGGAUAACUACUGGAAACGGUAGCUAAUACCGCAUAACGUCGCAAGACCAAAGAGGGGGACCCUCGGGCCUCUUGCCAUCGGAUGUGCCCAGAUGGGAUUAGCUUGUUGGUGGGGUAACGGCUCACCAAGGCGACGAUCCCUAGCUGGUCUGAGAGGAUGACCAGCCACACUGGAACUGAGGCACGGUCCAGACCCCUACGGGAGGCAGCAGUGGGGAAUAUUGCACAAUGGGCGCAAGCCUGAUGCAGCCAUGCCGCGUGUAUGAAGAAGGCCUUCGGGUUGUAAAGUACUUUCAGCGGGGAGGAAGGGAGUAAAGUUAAUACCUUUGCUCAUUGACGUUACCCGCAGAAGAAGCACCGGCUAACUCCGUG
rnacentral:rRNA from 1 species